CUCUCAUUUGCUUAACUUAGAGAGGAUGAGGUUGCUUCUCAUGCUCUGGAACACUGCACCUUACUUAGAGAAUCUACUUAUCAACAGCUAAAUCACCUUGCAGACUGAGGCUCCUGGUUUAUGUGCUGUGCAACGUGCAAGCAGAGGCAAGGUGAGUGCACAGCUGUACUGAUGAGGGUACAGCUUAGCCACGUGUAAGCUGUCAUCUCAGUGGGAGAAUGAGUUUUAAGACCAUGUAACUCUUGAACUUCUUGGAUUACCUGCUUUUCCCAUCUAUCUGGUUUCUCCUACCUCUACUUCUCUCACAAGAAGCAAAGCCGAGCCUGCCCCACACCUGUGUGAUGUGGAGAAAGCUGCAUCAUUUUCCCUUCGCUCUUCGUGCUCUCAAGUUUCAAUUGCUCCUGCAGACCCUUCUGGGCUCUCUCUUCUGAGACAUCUUGGCCGUAAAGUACCUCUACAGACAUAAAAUCAUUUUUUCUGUGUGAAGAUGUUGCUAUUUUCACAGUAAAAUACUCCUGCUGUGCAGUGCUGCACCUCCACACAGGACCCUUGUCACAGUGGCUGUGCCCUUGUGGCUCUGCCUGACGCUUCAGAGGCAAGCCCGCAGCUCCCCAUGUCCUGGCCAGCUCAGGAAACUUGGCUGCUGAGCAGGAGAAGACAGCCCCACACACAGCAAAGGUAGGUAUCAUUUCUCCCCUCGUAGCUCUGUCCUGUUAAGUGAUAAAAAGCAGUUUAUUAACGUGAACUAUGGCAUUGUGAGGUGAUUGAGGAGAAUACCAAUGCAGGACCAAGAGCAAGGGCUGGGAGGAAUGUGGUCAUACUGCUCCAGUGCUUGUAGGGACCCAUAUGUUUACUCAGAACUUUUGGUGUGUCUGUGCUGAGUGAUGCCCUGGCUUUGAAUUCACUGCUCCUGUUGGAAAAGAUGAUUCCACCGUUACAAGGAAAACCUCGUUUUCAGUCUUAGGGCUGUAUGAGAGCUCCUCCUGUAACCUACUCCUCUGCUCUGGUGGACACAUGUAUUAUCAUUGCUUCCAUAUAACUCAUCUGGAUGUGUGUCUAUAUUUUUAUCCUUCCCAUUCCUGUUGUGCCAUGCUUAUGAUAUGGUAUCACAGAUGUAACCCAUCAUUAUGUGACUCACGCUGCAAGUCAAUGCAUGUAACCACAGGCAUGCAGAGAGUGAAUAGAUAUCAAGCACUGAUACUAUUAUAGCUUACUCUGCAGUUUGCUCAUGUACUGGCUGUUGGGAGCAGUAAAUACCCUACCUCAGUGUGGAAUAUACUUGCACUGCCUACAUAGAACCACGUGCACAACUCUAGGUAAGUUUAGGACCUGAUCAUGAGCAGUCCACAGCAAAGCAUCAGAAACCAGGUGAUGUCAUCAGGCAAAGGGAACCGCUUUCUCAAACUGGCUGACAAGAACAAGCUGAUGCAUGUUAUGUUUUGCUCUGAUAUAAUAAGCACUGUGAAAAUAUUAGCUGUUUUCUGAUUGAGUAAAGGUGUGUACUGCACAUAAUACUCCAGCAAACAAAAUUGUUCCGAAAUUAUCUAACUAGGAUGUCACUGCAAAGGGAAAUGGCACAUUGUAUUCCAUUCAGGGGAUGGCAGUUGAGCUCUUAAUCCAAUAGCAAGCUUAUUCUUAUUUGUGCCUUCUCUGCCUGAGCCCUGGAAGCAGAGCGCUGCACACAUCUGUGCUCAAGAUAGGUCUGGUGCUGUGGGACAUUUGGAGUCAUACAGAUACAGUUGGCACAGCUGCCUCUGUCCUUCCCACUUGUCAGCAAGCCCACUGCUCUCUUCAUGAGCAAAAUGAACUUGUUGACCACUUCCCCAGUGCUUCUGCAGAGCUGGAUACUUGUAGUGGUUACUGUGGUUAGAUUGCAGUGUAUUUUUCACACCCUUCUUGUGAAAUGGUGCAGCUCAACCCACCUUUCUCUCCUGGCAGAUGGUAGACGUGUAGGCUGUACGAAUGGGUGCAGCAGCAGUGAACCAAUGUUUUUUUUCCUCCACAACUAGGUUAUAUUCUUCACCUUGUGUGAACCAGCAGGGCAGCAAAGUAGGCAGUGGGUCUGAUACAAUCAACUAAUUUGUAGGAGUCAGACUUAGCAUUUAGUUUACCCUCUCAUAUUCAAUAACACUCUCUGAUUACUGCAUUGAAAUAGACAAGAAUCAAUGACAAACAGAGCAUCAGUGACCUCGUAAUUUCUGUUCCUAGGGUGAGCAGAUAUUUUUCAUUUGAUACGAAUCUUAAGGCAACUAUUAAGAAAGAAACAAAAUGUGUUAAGUCCUGCACCAGAACUUGCUAUUAGAGGUUCAAAACACGGCUGCUGGGAAGCAAACUGUCCAAUAUGCCAAACUUCAGGGAGAUUUAGAUUUAAAAAAAAGAAAAAAUCUACAAAGCACAGAAAUCAAUUUUCAUUUGAGAAAUGUGCUUUGAACAAUGCCAACGAUCAAAAGAAUUUCAAAAGUCUUGUUUGUAGAAGGGAUAAAUACAUCCCUCUUCUCCCCUUUGUCACCUUUUGCUCUAACAAAGUCCAGCUCCACUGAACCUGGAAAACUUUUUGGCAAAAUUAUUUGGUUUACCUGCUCCAAUGCAAAAAUUCACUGUAGCAUCAGUACCAACUGUUGCUGAUCCAGCCAGUAGUUAGACCCAGGAGCUGAGAGGGAUUCUGUGCCAAUUAUCACAAUUUCAGCAAGCUCAGCUGUUGGAAUUUUCCUUUGUGUAGGGCAGAGGGGGUGGCGGCACUCACACACUGGGUCUGAAGCUCAGGUAAGUCCUGCUGAUGAGGUACUUGAACAAACUCCUAAAAGAAACCACCUUUCAACCGGAAUGUAGAAAGGAAGCCAGAAGAAUAAGAAAACAGGAAUGCCUCUGAGGUCUUUAUUAGAACAGAAUCGCAGAAUUACAGAAUCAUAGGGGUUGGAAGGGACCUCUGGGAACCAUCCAGCCCAAGCCCCCUGACAGAGCGGAUUCCCUUGAGUAGGUUGCACAGAUCUCUUUUUUAGCGGAUGACUUCAGGGUUAUGAUUAGCAAUUCUCUGCCUCACGGAUAAAUCUGUCAAUGAAUGCUGAGGUUACAUUACCAACCUAAGAUUACAUUUGUUGCUUAUGGGUAGUACUCUUGGAAUGAAGUACUUCACAGUGAUUUUGUAAGCGCUCGGAACACUUCUGGAAGUGUUAUUAAGAAAUGCUUAAGAAACAUAGGAAACAAAACAAAACCGGGCAGUGUACAAGCCAGUCUUUCUCUGUAUGGGAGAUUUCUCAGAAAUGGAAAGAAAUUCUGAAAGCAGUGGGUCAAAUGUUCUGUUGGCAUUGCUGUACUAUUCUGUUGGAAAUAACUUUCCUCAUUAGAAACAAAUGCAAAACUUUGCAUGAAGCUUUUUCUCAGCUAAUUUAGAGCAGGCUCUUUCAUGUGUUUAUUCCUAAGGGAUGCAAAACAUUUCUAUUGCAACGAAAGAUGGAGUUGAUGAGUACCUUGCAGGACUGGGCCACCACUACUUCAAGGCUGAUGACACAUCCCGGGGACCUCAGGAAUAGCACCAAUGCAGUUUACUCAGUGACUUGCUAAAUAAAUAAGGAUUAAAUAAUUUCUAUAAAUGUAGCAGUCUCACUGGGAGCUCCUUGCCCGUGAUUGAUCUGAAAAUAACCAGAAAUGUUUCAUUGGAUUAAUAAAUAAAAAAUAUCAGUUCAUUGCAACUUCAAAAUUGAGGGCGCAUUUCUUUUGGAUUGAGAACAUAGUUUUGUUCCUUGUUCCGUACGUUUCUAUUUCUUCAGUAAGUGUAAUUUGAAAGAGGAAGAGAAAUAUAUGACUGAUGCAUUAAGAUCAAUCGUGAUAGCUAAUUUAAUAUCCAAAAGGUUCCUCAGAUAUUCCGGGGAAGAAAAUGUAAGUGAAAAAUGCAGUAUUAUGGCUAGUACUCAUUUGCUGUAUUACAGUCAGACGUACACAGUAUCUUAAUUUUCCUCAUGAUUAUAAAUGGCUUUUAACUUUACUGGCAAGUCCAAGCUAUACCGCGGCGUUAGCGAUAACCAGGUUAUCUUGCAUGUGCAGCCUAGGAGCACAUGGCAGCAGGGUGUGUGAUGCACAUAAGUCACUGUCCAGAGCCCAGAACAGUGCAUAAAUAUUGUCUGCAGAGCACAAAGCAUAUUUUUAAUUUUAUGCUAUCGUAUGACAAGGAAAUUUUUAAAAUGUCUAGCAAGACAGUAUGAAACCUUCUUAUUGUAAGUCACAGGAUCACCCUGUGAGCUCCAAAUCCCAGGUCCACAUUAAUGUUCUUCAAACACAGGCAAGCAGGGGUGUGUCAUGCCCAGGAAUUUCCUGGUUACAAAGGAUACAGGAUGGAGGGGAAGCUUCCAGAAACCUCCUUUUUGUUGAAGGCUGUGGUGGUAAAGGAGGAUGAAGUCCUUCCAGGUUUAUGUCUGUAAACGAAAUGUUGAUGGUUUGAGCUUCAAAGAUGUUGGUUUGCCAAGUGAGAGGCAUGGACCAGAGGAGAUGAGCUAGGAAACCUUCAGCAGGGCAGGCUGGUCACUCAGAUGGGACCUGCACCUCGGGCUGCCCCUCCACAGCUCACAAAGAGGGACCAAAGGAGCUGCCCUGUCCACUUGGUUCUGCCUCUUGGUAUCCCUGCCUGUUGUUGUGGCCUUCUAAUUCACCACAUUAGAGAAAACAAAGUGACUGCACAGAGUAAAGGGUAAGCCUGACUUUUUCUCAGUUGUCAGCCUAUGUGCACGCAAAAGAUGCUAUGAAAGGAGGCUGCUUUGUGAAGAUGCAUCAAAGAGGGAUUUCUACUGUUUGUCACUGGAUUUCAUUUCAGUGCUAAAUCACAUCAAUCUCAGCAAGAAGUCAGGAAAAAAUGGAAAACGUGUCGCUGCUGUCAUCCCAAGUUUUGUUUGCCUUUCUUUACAUUAAAGCUCUUAUUUCUGUAGGACUUUUGAGGCUGAUCUUGUUCUUGUCUCUUCUGGGUUUCAAGAAUAUAUUGUUACGUACUACGUCAAGUCUCAGUGUUGCUUGUAUUACAUCUACAUAUUGCAAAAUCAUGCAGUCUGAAUUAUGCUCCUAAGAAAGCUUAUUAGCAUCUAAAACCAUAAGUUUAUAAUUUUCAGUUUAGCCAUCAUGCAUUUUAAACAUAUAUAUAAUUAUUAUUAAUUUUUAUUAUUAUUGUUUGCAUGUGUUAACAUUAUCUAUUAGAAGAUAUGCUAAAAGGAUGCAAAGCUUUGAAAAUCAAGCAGUAAAACACAAUUCUGGUAUUUUCUGGAUAGAAUUUGUGCAAUUUUUGCUUCUUGUGGGUUUGUGCAUUACAAUCAGUCUUUAAUUAAGAAAACAUACACUUUGUUUUUGAACUUGCUGAUAUAUCUCUUCUGCUGAAACUCCUUAAAGUCAGACACCUGGCAUGGAAACAUAGUUCAGAUAGACAGCACAUUAAUGAACCCAGUAUUGGAUUUUAUCUUUGUGUUCAUUGAGUGUCCGAUGCCUUAUUAAUUUCACAUGGUGCAAAAUUGCUUUAAUUCAGAAUUAUUUGUUUCCUUAUGACCAUUACUUUAAUGGUCGUCAUUAGAGUAUCCAGCUGUUUCACAAGCAGUAAUGAACUUCUGUCAUACUACUUUGCUGCAGUGAAGAAUAUUAUUAGUCCAAUUUUUUCAGAUAAUAAACUGAAGCAGAAGAAUAUAAGUAAUGACUAACUACAGAUUUUGGACACUGAGAAGGAAAAAAACAACACUAUCAUCAGAUUCUGGUACAGUCUUCUGUUCACAGCAAUCCUCACUGAUGUAAUGUGUGAGGACCCAGUGCUUCUGCACGGUGGGGUCUUGAUUCAAAUGAAGAGAGCAAAACUGAAGCAAAUGAAGGUUUAAGUACCUUGCCUCACACAGCAGCUCUAUCAGUCAGUGGCAGAUUUCAGGCCUCCGGGGCAGCAUUCAGCUGUCUUAACUAUGAAAUCAAUUUUUGUUUUACUGCAGUUUGUUUUCUUGAGUGGUACGUGCAUUCUACCUAGAGUUAGGGUGGAAACUUCUUUCCAGUUGCUUGCACAUUUUCAGGGUUUUGGUACCAGCCCAGCUUCACGAUGGGCAACUUGUUGAAGCCCUUCAAGGACAUCCUGGGAGAACCAGAGCUGCUCAGCAGAGCCUGGGGAGGAAUCACAGGGUUGCUGGCCUUCUGGAGCUUGACCUCUUCCAUUCUGCUGCCUUUGCCAGCCUGCUUGCACUCUGUCUGGCCUAAUGGAGCACCUCUGUUUUAUGAGAAGAAGAAAGAACUCCUCCAGCUGUGUCAGAUCUGUCUCGCGUCCCUACCGUGGGGCGAUGAGAAAUGCUCAUCGAAGGGGUGCUGCCCUGUGCGUGUCCCCAGUAAAAGGAGGCUGUUGCCUUCCUCUCUGCUUCUCUGAUGCAGUUAGGGGUCAGAUCCACUCAGCCUCAGCCUAGAUUUCAUGUCCAGCUCUGGAGUCAGAGCACCUGGGACCAGCAAUUGCAGGGAAAGCCUUGUUUUAGCCUCCUUUAACCUGGGGUCAGGAAGAAUGCUGGCUUAGCAUGGACAGAAAAUGCUGUUGAUCAACUGCUACUAAGCAUAUGCACUCAGAAUUUUUCUCAGUUAUUAACAACUUGGCUACAUUUGAACAUUAUACCCCUCCACACACAUAGAUACACAACAAAAGGCUUAUCCAUCACACAAAGGCUAUUCAAUGCCAAAUUUACUUCCUUGUUUCAAGCUGUCAUACUGCCAGAAAUUAUUGACAGAACUGUAUUAAAUUUGUAGUAAAUAGUAUGGCUGGCAAAUAAUACAUUCUCUGCUGAUUUUAUUAUUGGAAAAAAACUGGACAAUUCAUGCUGACAACCUUUUGGAAACCAGACGUGAAAAACUCCAGUCUCAACAGUUAAAUUUUGGAAGAGUUAUGAGCUACUGAAAUGAAGGGUUUGUGUUGGGAAGAGUUUGGCAGCAUUAAUAACAAAGAGCCUUGACCAUUUGAUUCAUAAUUGCUUUUCUCAAAUUUUGAGCUGUGAAUCACCCGUGCCCCUAACUCUCUAAGAGUCAACAUCCUUGGCAAGUCACCAGGUAGUCUAUGGUACUGGCAUGAAGACAACACUGCUGAAAACAUAUGAAAGUAUAUAAUGAUAAAAUUAAACAUAGAAAUGCAUUUUCUGUGCAAUUUCCACAAUACGUGUAGUGAGGUCUUUCACUUUGCUCAUAUCUCUGAAAAGAGCAGUAACAGUGAAUCAGAUGUAAUUUUUCUUGCUACCCCAUCAUAUGUUAUUUGCAGUUGAUAACUUUCAGUUGUAAAAUCGAUGUAUUUACAGGUUUGUUUUGAUUUAAUGGUGUUAAUUUGAGGUGAGAACCACACAGACUAUAAGAUCAUUAACACUGGUCCUGUCCUCAUUUGAAAAAAAAUCAGCAUGUAUUUCUUCGGUCAAAUAAUUUGUGGAGAGAGAAUAGAGGGAAUAUUGUGUUAUUGUGGUACAAGUGCUGUUUCUUUGACUUUGCUCAAAGAAACGUCAAGUGAAAUGACACUCUAACUUACUUUGUAAGCUUAUUAUUAUGGUAGAAUUUGCUUUAAAUAGCCAAAGAUCCCAAUGAUUGGAGGUGGUUCUUCAGCUUCAGGUAAAGACAAUACUUGGUAGAAUCAGUGCAGGAUUAUUUUAACAGCAUGGGGUUAAAAUGUGUGUAUUUUUACAUCUUUGGGAUUUGUCAAUCAUUUUGUACCUGUUUAUUUCACAGUCAGAUUCCAAUUACAGCCUACUGCUAGGAAACCUGGCAAUAAAAUUUGGAAAAUACAGCAUGGAAGAGGUUAUUAUGUACUUAGGUAUCAUCAAAAUAGUUGGUGUGUCUUUGGGAGGGGGCAGGGGAGAGCAACACGAGUAGGUUGUUUUUCAUUUCACUUUCUAGGCAUGACCCAGUGAACUUCUCACAACUGGGAAGAUUACGCCAGUGAGUUGCAGAAAGCAGAUUUGCACUCUGAGCACAUUCGUGCCUUGACUGUGGGUGUCAUGGUGAAAUAAAAAAAAAAGAAGCCACAUUAUUAUGAUAAUGCCAAAUUGACUGGACAAGAUGUAACUAGAAGGGCCAACACCCUAAGGCAUGUUUCAUCAACUUGGAACUCAAAAAUUUGAUCACAAUAAAUAAGGUUCUUGUUUCUCUCUUCUUGUUUACAAGCAGAACCCCAGAUAGAUGAGAAAAAGCAUCAGCUGAAUCUGAAAGUUAAAGAAUACCUGGAUGUCUUUACAGAGAUAGUUUUGCAUAUAUUGCUGAAGAUAAGUGCUUUUCAGAAGUGCCUCAUGUCCUACCCCUAUUUUAGUGGAGACAUGACAGCUGGCAUACUGAAACAUCUCUAAAAUCCCAUACGGUAAUGAACUGUUUUAUUAGGCACCAAAUACUUUUGGAAAUCAGGCCCAUGACGACCAGAAGCAAUCUGUCCAUUCACUAACAAGAGUUAGUAUUUCUUUUGUGUAAUAUAUUAGUUUUAAAUACAAAGCAUAGUUUAAAAACUUGUGUUGUUUCUUUUUCUUUUCAUCUGUAAACAGCAGAUAAAGGGUCAUUGACGUUACCUGCAGAAACUAUUUUAACAAGCUCUUCUUGUGCAUUCUUAAACUUUUAGUCCUGUCACCUGAGCACUGCUCAUGGAAAAAUUCAAGAUAAAAAUUAUAACCCAAAAACAUGUCUUCUGAUGGUGAACGGAGUUAAAUCCAGCUGGCAACCAGCCACGAGUGGUGUUCCCCAGGGUUCGGUAUUGGAGUCUGUCCUGUUCAUUAUCUUUAUUGAUGACCUGGACAAGGGGAUUAAGUGCACCAUCAGUAGGUUUGCAGAUGACACCAAGUUGACAGGAAGUGUCAGUCUGCCUGGGGGUAGGAAGGCCCUACAGAGGGAUCUGGACAGGCUGGAUCGCUGGGCUGAGGCCAGCAGGAUGAAGUUCAACAAAACCAAGUGCUGGGUCCUGGACUUUGGCCACAACAACCCCAGGCAAUACUACAGGCUUUGGGUAGAGUGGCUGGAAGACUAUGUGGAAGAAAUAGACCUGGGGGUGUUAGUCAACACUGCUAAACGCCAGCAGUAUGCCCAAAUGGCUGAAAAGGCCAAUGGCAUCCUGGCUUGUAUCAGAAAUAGUGUUGCCAGUAGGAGCAGCGAAGCGGUCAUCUCUACAUACUCAGCUCUAUUGAGGCCAAACAUUGAGUACUCUGUUCAGUUUUGAGCCCCUCACUACAAGAAAGACAUUGAGGCUCUGGAGCAUGUUCAGAGAAGGUCAGUGAAGGUGGUGAAGGGUCUGGCUGAGAGAACUGAGAUUCUUUAGUCUGGAGAAGAGGUGGCUCAGGGGAGACCUUAUCGCUCUCUACAACUAUGUGAAAGCAGGUUGUGGUGAGGUAGGUUUUGGCUUCUUCUCCCACAUAAGUAGCAACAGGAAGAGAGGAAAUGGCCUCAAGUUGCACCAGGGAAGAUGGGAAGAUUCAGGCUGGAUAUUAGGAAAAAUUUAUUCUCUGAAAAGGUGGUCAGAUGCUGGAAUGGGCUGCCCAUGGAGGUGGUUGAGUCACUGCCCCUGGAGGUGUUCAAGAAACAUUUAGAUGAUGUACUGAGGGACACGGUUUAGUGGGGGAAUAUUGGUGGUAAGUAGAUGGUUGGACUGGAUGAUCUUGGAGGUCUUUUCUAACCUUGGUGAUUCUGUGAUUCUGUUACCUACCAUACCUGAGUCUGCUAGUUUAUCACUUUCACACCUGAGGAGCCUGCUGAUGUGGGUCCGGAAGCAUUGGAACACACUGGUGGAAGCAGACCAAAACCCUGCAAAGCAAACAGCAAAACCAACUGUGAGGUGGGGAGAAGCCUUGUGGGGCCCAAAGUGGGCCCUGAGAUGGGAAUAAGCUAAUUCCUUGACACCUCUGCAGGACUCACAGCCACUGGAUAUAAUGACUUCAAACUUCAAGAGUCUUUUUAUUCCCUAAAUGUUAUCUCCAAUUCCAUCUGUUAUCCAGCACCAUUUUUUUUUAAAUGGACGGAGUGAAAGGGACUCUACGUCCUGCAUGGAAACCCAAAAUGCUGUGAAGCAUUGUUCUGUGCACCAGGUCAUGCCCUGCUUUCACUCAGCAAUUUUAAACCAGCCUUUCUCAUAAUUCUCCUUUAUCAACUCUGCUAUAUCUUGAGGGGAAAAAAAAAAGAAAAGAAAAAAAAAAAAAAAAAAAGGUGACUGGUUUCCCUAGCAGAGAAGAGACUUUUCCUACUACACAAAAAUAUUUCCAUGAAUACAGCAUGUUUUGUACAUGCACGUCUGUAGUAUAUCUAGACAUGUUGAAUUUCUGGGCAAUGUUCACUUUCUAUCUUCAAAAGGGGCUUUCUGGGAGGGUUAAAUCACAAGUAAUUUCAGUAAUUUAUUCCUAGAUAUAUCUUAUGGGUGGCACGGAAAUGCAAAUCAGUUCAGUAAAAAUCAGGAGACGUUUACUAUUUGUACAAAUACUCCCUGCUUAUUGCUCAUAAGGAGCAAUUUCAAUGACAAAUCACCAUUCCAUAAGUCGGUUAUAGACAGACAGCUUACUGGACUCCUUCCAAGAUACACUGAGACUUGCAACAAAAUACCAGAGUGUAAUUACUUUCAUUAUGUAUUCCAAUUAAUCUGGAAACAACUGAGAUGGUAAAGAUCUCAUCCUGCUAAUUUUUACGGACAUAAAACCCGAUAUUAUUUAUAGAGCCGGUGCCCUCUGUUUACCUGAUUAAACUAUGCACUAAUCAGGCACAGCUUUUCUGGAAAUAGAGCUGGAGCAUGGUAAUUUGCCAUCUUCCAUAAUUUUCUUCACUCAGUCAAAACACAAGUGUAUAUUUUAAAUCAUGGCAAUAUUUUAAACUCGUGUAUGUUUUGGAAUGAAUGACUUCAAACAAAUCCUAAACUAGAAGACCAAUUUAAAUGUCUAUUUCAGAGGCACAGUCUUGAACCUGGGUUCCACUUCUGAUAGGCCUCAGCUGUGUCAUUGUUUGGCUACGGCCCUUUUCCAAGAAGCAUAAGCAAAUAUUUUAACUUGAGAAGUAUUUUUACCAUGAACUUGUCUUUAGUUUUGACAUUAAUUCAGUGGAAGAAAGGGUAUCUUUGCACUUGUGGGUGUGUGGCCAUUUCUGACUGUUGUCAACUCGCCUGGACACUGUCUCAGACGGCACUGAGUUCUCUGUCUUCAUUAUUUCUUUCCAGUGCUUCUUUCUUUCUUUAAAAAGGAGAUUAAUUUUUACCUAUCUGGAGUUCCCUAUGCAGGGAAAGGAACUAGAAUGAAUCUAAAAGGGUAAUGAGAUGUUAAUAACAGAGGGCAACUAGUUUUAAUGCAGUUGACUAAAUACUAUUAUGUAGCACAUUUUAAAAGCCUUUAGUGCUCACAAAGGAUGAGCACCAAAGUUGAAGGGAAAAUCUCAAUCACAGCCUCCUGGAAGGGCAACCCGUGCUGUGAACAGAUGGAGGAGAAACCUGCAGCAAAACUUCAGUAUGUGAAGCACUCCGGGUGCCUGCCGGGCCUCAGGGCUCUGAGUGCAGUAGGAGGCCUUUGCUGCCUGAGGCCAUGAGAUACAUCUGUGGUGUUAGGAGAGAGACAGCAAGCUGUCCAUGAGACAUAUGGCAUGCCAUGCAUCCACAGCCCAGGCUUUCCUCCCAGCUCCUGCUGCUUUAUUGCUCUGGAGGUCCUCCAGCUGUGGUGGCAACUUGGAGAAGACUCGGGGCUCCUGAUGCCUUCCUGGGGCAAAUCAGAUGCCUGGUCAGACUGUGGACUCUGCCUGUCCCUCCAGCAGUUCAGUGGAUGCAGGCCUGUGUGGGAGUUGAGCACAGGGCUUGCACAGAUCCUGCCAGCCCUCAUCUUGCCUCUUGGUUCCUUCCAAACAGGAGUUUAUGCACAGAGAGGCCUGCUGGAGACAAGGGCUGUGGUGGGCAGCUGCAGCCAACGCUAGCCCUCUUUUGUGCAGAGAGGAAGAACAUUGCUGUGCCUACUGCUAAUCCCUCAGUAUUCCAAAAACUACAUUAAUUGUGCCUGUAUAGUCCCUUCUUCUCAACUCUUUUUUCCCUCAUUGGCACCAUACUCUGUUCACAGAAUAAUUAGUCCACUGCACUUUGUGUUCCUAGUUUGAAAGCACUACUUUCUGUUUAGUCGCUUUCUGGUUGUGUAAAUUAUCCUCUUCCUUUGAAGGUAUUUAUAUUCUGUGAUCUUUUCUCCCCUGAGCUUUCUCUUUGGCAGUCCAUAGAAAUUGAGUUUGUUCUGUUUCAAACUAACUCGCUGGAUACCUUUUAAUGUUGUUUUCUAUGUGUGUAUUUCUAUGCCUUCACAACACUUCACAGCUGUGCAGAGCUGUGGAUCCAAACUGAGGUCCCGAUGCACUUCCCCACAUAGCAUACCUUAUGGCCCAUAUCACUUUUAUGAAAUAACAACGCAGUUGGUCAUCCCUCCUGAACAUUUUCUUCAACUCUUAACACAAAGAAGAGUAUCCAGAAAAUAGGAUAUCCAUUAACCUAUCAACAGUCUGUCAACGUAAAAUCAGUGUUCCAUCUAAAAUCAGUAAGGCUAUGAUUCAUCAUGCAACACCAUCCUGAGACCUGAUUACUGAGUUGUUUGGCUCAGCCUUAUCUAACCUGCACUGGCUGAAGACAUUGAUUCUAAUCAAGUUAUUCAUGGCUCACACUGACUGAUUUAAAGCUUUUGUUCUUCCCGUUGGAAGAUGGAUGGGUAGUCUCAUGAUUAGCUGCUAUUUGUAGGAGGAGACACCCAGCAGCCCUGCAGGUGGAUCCUUCUGAUGCCCUGGAUCCUUCUCUGCAUGGGACUAUGUGAUAAUUCACAGCAUGGCUUUACUGAAGAUGAGAGGUGAUCAGAAAGAUGUGAUCAGAAAUUUACAGCAGUUUCUGGUGUGCAAAGGUACUGUCAAGCAGCCCAAAUGCCUCAGCCAGUUUACCAUCUUGUCUGUGUUAUUUAUUGUCAUACCCUGAUGGUCUGACCAGUGUUAUGUGCACUGAAGGCUCAGUGCUCCCAGAGCUCAGAUAGGGCUGCAGCUACAGGCUGAGAGAGAGCCUGCUGGCAGUGACUGCCUCUCUGCCCCGCACAGCACUGAGCCUUGGCUGGUUUGGGUAGAAGUUAUCUGCUACUGGCAAGCAUGUUGAAACACUUAAUGUUUUAAAUCCUUCUUGGUUUGACACAUCUAAUAUUCAUUGGUCAUACCUCCAAAAUAAAUAUAUAGAUAUAUUGAUAUAAUUGACAGAGAAGGCUGUUGGCUGUUUGUUCAAGCAUUAGAACAAGCUGCCCAGUUAAGUGGUGGAGUUCCUAUCCCUGGAGGUGUUCCAGAACUGUGGAGUUGUGGCUCUUGGGCACAUGGUUAGAAGACAUGGUGGGGAUGAGUUGGGGUUGGACUUGGGAAUCUUGGAGAUCUCCUCGAACCUUAAUGACUCUAUGAGUGGGCAUGGUGUGAUGGUUUGACAGUUGGACUAGAUGAUCUUAGAGGUCUUUUUCAACCUUAAUGCCUUAUGUUAUUUAGUGAGUAUGUACCCUCUGGAAAAAAAUAAAAUUAAAAUUAAAGCAAUGUUUAUUUCUAAAAUCAUUGUUUGCUCAGGGUAUGUUCAGUACAACACCUUCUCUGCUUGAAUACAGUAAAUUGUAAUUGCACCCCUUGGGUGCCAUUGCCUAAAACACAUCUAAAGCUGUUUUCUUAUUAUUAUGAAAAACUGCUUGAAAUUAGAGGAUACGAGCACUUUCAUACCAGGUGCAAAAAACAAGCCAUCAGUCUACCUCCUCUGUCAUUUUAAAAAGUUAAGUGGUGCUGAGAUUAUUAAAUAUUGCCUAUAAUUGGAUUGAUGUCCAAGAUACUGUUAGUCCCAUUCUUUUGCAUUAAAAACAAAGGAGAACAUACAAAAAUGAUGGGUUUCAUAUAUUCAGAAAUCUCAUAUAGCACAAGUCAUAACUCUGGUCUUGACUUAGCGGUACACAGUAGGUGUGCCCUGUGACAUAGAAAAAAAAUCCUUAUGGAGUUUCCCAGAAAGUCGCUGGUGAAAUAAUGCUUAAGGGCUUCAGUGGAACUAGUUCUUCCUCAGAAAGUUACUAUCUCCUGACAUAAAGGUAGUCCAAACCUAAUAAUAAAAUUAAGAUUAUGUUGUGCUUUCUAGCAAAAAUGAUUCCAUAUUUUGUAGACUUCUCCUCGCAAGGCAAGCAGCAUAGAUCUUUCCUAGUACUAGGGUGAGAGAAGUCCAGGGAUUCCCACCAGGUGCAGCAAGAGGCCAUGGCCAGCCAUUGGACAAGCAGGAAAUCCCAGGAGACAAAUAAGGAAGCACCAACUGGUUGUUGCACGGGGCUUUAGGGAACAGAUGGGGAAAAGGUGAAGGAAAUGCAUAAGGAAAACUAAAGUGAUCAUUCUUUGGGUUUGCUCAGACUGUCCACAAGCACCCACAGGCUUUGCACAGAAAUGUGUUCAGUGUGAGGAAGGUGCUUUAAGGUAUAAACAGCAAUCAUCAUCCUCAGUCCCGCCCUUCUGAAAUUACAGACAUUUCUAAUAGAACAGGGUGACAAUAUUCUUUAUAUGCUUGUCAUAAUAAAUUCAGAUUUACUAUGGAAAAUGUACAGUAGCUUUUCCUUACAUACAAGACCCCCAUGGGUUGCAAGACAAUGGCAUCAGAUUCCACAGCAGUGAUCUUUUAAUUUCAAGACAACGUUAAUUUAUUUAAACAUCUUGCAAUGAUCUUCCUUCCCAUCCUUCUGGCCCAAGAAGAGUCGCAUACAACCAAAGUUUGCAGUUAAAUAUAUUUGUUGACAUGACAUUUGUUAAUGAUUUUUCCACUAUCCUUCACACUGAAGACAGCUUUCUGUUACACUCCCUGUGUUGCCUGGCUGUGCUCCCUAAUGCUCAGCUUUCUGGUGUUCAGGAUACUGCCUCACCUGGCGCCAUGAGAAGGGCAGAGCUGUGGGGUCAUAGGGCUGUGGUGGGGGGAGCUUUCUGAGAUAUGGAGAAAUGUAAAGUGACAAUACGAUUUUGCGUUCUUUCAAUUCCAGUUCUUAAAAGCAGUCUGAGCAAAAUAUCUACUGUUAGCUGCCCUAUAAAGAAGAAUGAGAAUGAGAAGAAGAAAGAAUGAGAAAUGGGCAGCUGAAACAAAUGAAAGGAACAAUAGUCAAAAAGCUAAUUACUCUUAUUUCCAUAUAACUCAAAAAGAUAAAAUUGCCUGAGCAAAUAUGAGAGAAGUAAUUAACUUCAUGAAUAACCUAAGGCUUACAUGUUUCCUUAUUUGAGAAAGACUUGUGUAGGGAAGUUGAAGCACAGAGCUCGUGGAUGUGUUCCUCUCCACACUCUUAAAGGUGAGUGCAGUUCUCCAGCCUGAGCAGGGAUGGAUCUCACCCAGAGAAGCAUCCUUCCCUGCUGUCCCAAACCCUCCUGGAAGGGUGUCUUGGUGCACAGUGCCUGACUAUGGAGAAACCAUGGAGGGGGCAUGGGGUGCCUGAGUGUAGAGGGUCUGUGAUGCUCAGCACUGAUCCUGCAGCCCAAAUUGCCGUGUCUCUGGGCAGUGACCUGCUUUGGCAACGGGCUUCAACAACAGGGAGCUCUGCUGUAUCUGGAGAGAGCAGGAAAACAUGGUAUGGGCAGUGCUGCACAGUAGGGCUUCACAUUUAACAGCUCAAAAGUUAGGGCAGGUAAAGUAAGCAUCGUUCAGACAAAAGUAUGCAGCAAAAGGUAUUUCUUCAAACAAAACUAAAUCAAUUAAUCUAAAAUGACCAGGAUAUUAAAAAAAAUAGUGACAUCUGAGUGAAAGGAAGUGGUCUCACUAUUAUCACAGUAUCAUAGGCCCAUAGGAUAAUUUGGACUGGAAGGAACCUUGUGGUGUGAGUACAGGAAAGAAGGCUGUGUAGUGGUAGAAGACCACUUUAGGAAGGAACACUCUCUGGUGCCCAGGGACACCACUUCAGCAGUUUUGGUUUUGGAUUGCCAGGGCUGGCAGAUUGCACGUAAACCAUCCUGCUAAUGUCUUGCUAACCCCACGCUGUACACACCCAUGUAAUUUCCUAAAGAUUUCAUUUAUAACUUUGGUAAUGAUAAAUUAUGAAAAUAAAUUAUGCAGUAUGUGGGAAAAAUACUUCCUUUUGUUGGCUUUAAGCACAGAGUCUAAGCUGUCCCUUAGCUCCCGUGCAACACGAAGCAGUGGAAACAGCACGUAGUAAUUCCCUGUCACCCUCUUUCUACCUUAUGCAGUUUUCAUAGAUCUCCAUCAAAGCAGCUCUCAAGCUUUUCUUUCCUGAUGAACUUUUCUUGGGAUGCAUUUCAUAUGUUCAUCUGUCUCUUAUCCCCUUCCCAUGUGUCUCUCCCACAAACACCAGCCUGAGAACUGUUUACAAAAUAGUCCACAGAUCUCCUGGCAGACUCCGAAGCUAAACACAGUCCCCAGCCAAAGUCUGUGUUUUGGAAACUGUUUCUUUGUUUUCAACUUCAGCAGAAACUCUGGCUGCCAGGCAUUAUGGAUGUAAUUCAUUUGGCAACACUACUUAGGCAUGGAUGGCUGAUGGACCAAUACAAGUCAUUGGCUACAGAGAAGGUUAAUCAGAGAAAUGUUCUCAUUAACCUGAAUCUGAUUCUCCUCUUCAUUACUGAAAACUAGAUCAUUUUCACUAUGCAGGAGAGAUCAAGACUAAAGGAGCCCAGGGUGUCCUCUAUUUGCAGCCACUGGACUUUACUGCAAGAUUCAUGCUGUAGAGAGAGCUGGAAGCAGUACUAACAAUUUAUCUGGAGAAACCAAGAGCACCACCCAGUUACAGGCAGUUGGCCACAUGAAGAUCUAGGUUAAAACUACCUUGGCUGGAGAAGAGGGUGGAAGCAAGGCUACCACAGCAAAAGAUGUGUCCUUGCUGCUCCUAGAAAGGAAGGAAAGCAUGAAGGCAUCUGCAGCCUCUUGGGGCUGGGAAGGGACUUUCAUCCCCAGCCCUUUCGUGUCUGUGAGGUAAGAGGGCUCCUCUGGUGACUUUCCUAGAUCCCAUCCAGAGGCAUGUGGGUUCAUUUGUUCAACAGAAAGCCCAGGUACACAACCCAGGGCUGGGCAUUUCAGCAACUGCCAAGAUCGUGGCUUCAUCCCAUGUGACAGUCAGCCUGACUCGUUCUCCAGAGACUUCCAAUGACUUCAGAGGAGCAUAGCAAGGUUAUGCUCCUGGCUAAGGUUCCCAAAGUCAGUGGGAUGAAGCUGGAUAAAAGUGCUAAAAGUUCAAAACUGCAACAUUCGCUAUUGCAACAUCUAAAGCUUUUUAUGGACUGAUCUGCUGGGGAAAUUCUGGUUAGGUAAACGCAGUGGUGUUUUACAAUUGACUCUAAUGGCCCUAGAAGUCAUUUAAAGAAUUCUGUACAAAAGCUAAUGCUGCUACUCUAGGUAUUAACUGGCUUUGGUCUGAUAAUAUUGAGAGAUCAAAGCCACCCCUAAGUCUUGCUGUAAUGAAAGAUAGGUUUCAACUGUUCCUUAAAAGCAGUGAAUCUUUUCAGUUCUUUUUCUUCUAAAAGCUCUUUCUAUUAGACGUAUUUUGAUAGAGAGAUGUAUUUCUAUUAGAUGUAUUUCAAAAAUAGGAAAUGUCCC